rnacentral:rRNA from 1 species
AGAGUUUGAUCAUGGCUCAGAUUGAACGCUGGCGGCAGGCCUAACACAUGCAAGUCGAACGGUAACAGGAUUAGCUUGCUAAUCGCUGACGAGUGGCGGACGGGUGAGUUAUGCUUGGGAACUUGCCUUUGCGAGGGGGAUAACAGUUGGAAACGACUGCUAAUACCGCAUAACGUCUACGGACCAAACGGGGCAUAGGCUCCGGCGCAAAGAGAGGCCCCAGUGAGAUUAGCUAGUUGGUAAGGUAAAGGCUUACCAAGGCAACCAUCUCUAGCUGUUCUGAGAGGAAGAUCAGCCACACUGGAACUGAGACACGGUCCAGACUCCUACGGGAGGCAGCAGUGGGGAAUAUUGCACAUGGGGGAAACCUGAUGC